ACGACAGUGGGUUCAGUUGGGAAAACGAAGCGGCGAUGAAGCCCCAAAUCUUAGAAGACGAUUGAGUGAGGGAGUACAGUACAAGGCCCCCGCGAAUUCAACAAAUCGCUUGCUUAAACCCUAGACGACAAGAGCAGCAGCAUUAUCAUAUGGAGUAUCAAAACCCAACAACAACUCAAACCCUAAAUUCUGAUAUCAUUAGCACCCUUCUUCUAAACAUUAUUGAAUAUAUUCUUACUCGUAUGCCAAUCCGAGAUGCACUGGUAUUUGGUAAAAGUACUUGUGUGCAACUGGCAUGCCACAUAAGCUUCCCACUUCACUUGUCCAUCUCAAAAAUCUGUUUUUGCAUGUGUGUUUGGUGGAACAAAGCGUGAUUUCUUCUGCCCUUUGUAUCAUCAGACGCUCCCCUGAACUGAAUCAAAGAUAUCAUUUCCGAAAUUAAUUCGUAGGCCCGUUAAUAACAACCCAAACUUAAUUAGUAAGUGCAGCCCAAGUGACCCAUUUCUAUUUUGGGCCAUGAAAAUGGCCUAAUGGGUGCCUACCUCCUACUCAAGUAGUGCUUGAAAUCAACUUGUAAAACUUAGUUAUUGGAGAACUGCUGAAAACAGUUAUUGGUUGUAUAUCUGGUUUUCUAACAAUUUCCAAAUUCCAAAGAUUGUGGAUUGAUAUUCUCUCCAUGGCUCCAUAUGCAACGUUUCAUGGAUUAACCGGCCACCGGUUCAAGCUCUUACUAUCUGAGUAUCUUCAUUGCUUCAUUUGUGUUUCGUCUUCUGCUGAUUUUCUUUGCCAGAGGUGACUCGUAUUCAGUUUUUUUUUUAACAACCAACUGCUGUACAGCUUUCUAGUUCUUUUCAUGAUCAAUAGUGCUAUAUGAAGAUCAGUUCAGUCCAGUUUAAGAAUUUGAUAUAUAUUUGAUUUUAGUAAAUUUGUGUUAUUGUUCGGAGGCCCCCCAUGUCAUUCCUUUUUAACCCUGAAUCUGAUUCUAGUGUGUGUUUUGUCAACCCCUGACUAUUUGUUGUCGAAUAAGGAAUUUAGGAUUAAGGAGUUUGAUUGUGUUUUUGCAUUCUACCAUGCAGCAGCACUAUUAUAAUAUGGAGCAUCACCCCCCAACAAGAACUCGAAAACUAAAAUCGGAUUUCAUCAGCACCCUUCCCCAAAACAUUAUUGAGGAUAUUCUAACUCGUAUACCCCUCCAAGAAGCACUGAGAACGAGUGUUUUGUCAAAGAAAUGGCGGCAUACUUGGCGGGGCAUGCCUAAACUUGUAUUUACAGACAAUAUGGUUAAUCAUCUUCGCAUACAGUUGAACAAGUAUAAGCUUAUCAGUGCUAUCUUCCAUGUUUUAUUAUUCCACAACGGUCCGACAAUAGUAGAGUUUAGAUGUUCGGUUGGCGAACUUCAUAUGGAGUCUGAGUUUGCCCAGAUAUUAAGUGUUCUUGCAAGGGGAAAUACAGUGAAAGAAUUUAUCUUUAUUAGUGAUAAUAGAUCCAACAAGUUACCGGUUUCUUUCUUUGCAUUGCAAGGAUUAGAACAUGUACAUCUUGAAAAUUGUACUUUGGAACCCCCAUUGACGUUUAACGGGGUUAGUUCAUUGACGGUCAUGAAUUUUCAGAAUGUUGAGGUUUCUGCUCAAGUGCUUCAACAUUUCAUUUCCAAGUGCCCGCUGCUUCAGUCUUUCAUUUUGAUAGAAGUAGGAAAAGGCAUUGAGUCUGUACCAGCUGGAGGAAACAAUUUUACAUUAGUUGAUCUUUUUCAAUGUGUUCCUUUGCUUGAGGGUUUUGGUAUCACAAAGCAUUAUAUGAAGUACUUGUGUGCAGGUGGCAUGCCACAUAAGCUUCCAGCUUCACUAGUCCAUCUCAGUUAUCUGUUUUUGCAUGUGUGUUUGGUGGAACAAAACGAGAUUUCUUCUGCCCUUUGUAUCAUCAGGAGCUCCCCUGUGUUGGGGAGAAUCGUUUUUCUGAUGGAUAAUAAUGACAAAUCGCCUGUUCAACAAACUCCAGCCAACUUUCUUGAUCCAGAAGGCUACCCAGAUUUGAACUUGGAUCAUCUUGAGAUGUUGGAGAUACAUAACUAUAGUAACUUGCCUCUUGAGAUGGAAUUUGUGAAACUAAUCAUCGCCAAGUCACCUGAGCUGGAGGAAGUACGAAUUAGACUGAAUAGCAAUGUUUCUGCUGAUGAAGAGCGGAAGAUGCUUAAAGAAAUGCUACUACUCCCAUUUCCGCGGGCAUCACCUUCUGCUAAAUUAAUCAUUGUGAGCCCAUAAACAUCUUUACAAAGGCUGUAUUUUCCCAACCGCCAGAGUUACCCACCGAAUCCGACCCUGCGGGCAUCAUGCGAAGAGGACCCGCUAGUACUUCUGAGACUCCGGCUUCUGUAAUGAGGCCCUUCGUAAAAACCCCUAUGGCCAAGGUUUGGUGACUUCCAACCCCCCAUUGGAAAUUUUCAAGCUUCGCCACUGCCCACCCCAUCUUGGCCCGACACCGCUGUCAACACCAUUUCGCCAGGCCCGACGUCGUCGAGAACGUCGUGUGUGGGACGACGGAGACGCUCACAAAAGGACAAAAAGUUAGGGCUUUCACCAACAUCCAGCCAUAUACCCAUCACCAACAACAUCCUCUCUCGCCGGAAAAUCAGGCAUCUCCGGCCAAGUACCCAUUCUCUCUCUCUCUCUUGCCGGAAAAGUUAAACUCUGGCCAAGUCGUUCAUCGUUCAUACCGAGCUCAAUUAGGUAAGUUCUUUACACGAUUUUAUUCGUUUACAUCCGUCGAACAAAAGCCCUAACACAAUUCCGAUUAAACUUGCAUGUUUCUGUUCAAUUUGGGGAAUCAAAGGCUAGGGCUUGUUUGAGAUUUAUUUGGGGUAGGGAUGGCAAUCAAACCCGAACCCGAUUGGUAAACCCGAAGCCCAACACAUUUGGGACGGGUUUGGGGUCGGUUAAUGGGGUUUGGGAAUAGUUGUUAUUUUUUUCGCGGGUUUGGGACGGGUUUGGGAUUUAGUUAUAUACCCGUUUACCCGACCCAAUUACCCGAUAAAGUGUACCCGUUUACUCCUUGUGGUCUGUUUUAACACGUUUGUAAUGUUAGUUAUAUAGAUAUUAGUAGGCUUGUGAGCCUCCUCCAUUUGCUA